rnacentral:lncRNA from 1 species
GUUAAUUGUGUGACAUGUGGUUGUCUAGGUAUACACCAAAGCUCGACGGUUCAAAGAUAUCAAAUCUACCGAUUGACCGAGUAUAUCCGAUAUAUGCUUACUACGGAAAGUUCAAAGAGAAAUCUACUUAUCCAGAUGCAAUUAAUCAUUGCUUGCGAAUCACACAGUUUUUCAUGCAUACUUCCGUGAUAUAGACAUUGCCCAUUCAUGUGGGGAAUUGUUGGGUUUGUAUUUAAUUAAUAAAUCAAAUACUUAAAAGAUGGUGAAAGGGAAAUGAAGGGAAAUGAAAUUUUUGAGUGAAAUUUUAAGUUCCCCCUUGGCAUAUGGACUUUGUCCCGCAUUGGAAGAUGAAGAGAUCUUUUUUGGGUAUAUAAGCUAUUGCUAUCCUUCUAGCUCUUAAAGAGUUGAGAAGAAAGCAAGCCUUGCACUUUCAUCAU